UGACUAUUAAACCAUAGGGAGGGGAACCGUGGGGGAAAUUUCUUGCACACAGUAUCAGUGGAAAGUCUCUCUUCCCCCCUACUGCAUUAGAUACCUUUCUGGCUUCAAUGAAUCCUGAAACUCAAAGAAAGACCUGACCACAACUGCAAGGACACAUCUGCUCUGUACUGGAAGCCAAGGAAAGCCAUUAAUCAUUCAAGAUUUGCUGAAGUGUUUAUGAACUGAGCACUCCUGAACCAGAACAGGCUUUCUAGAGAAAGAACUUCUCCCAGAUGCUAAGUAAACUGCUACUGUGAGACAGGCCAACUAAAAAGCCAUUCCCAAAAAGGAAAGAAAGAGGACAUCUGUGGCUGGUGGGUGGCCUAUAAAGGGCAGGAGAAAAUGCCUAAGGAUUACAGGACUCAAUUCCACUGCCAGCACAGAUUUCAUCAGCUGCAGAGCCAAAGCAGCAAAGGUGCAGGAUCCUAACAGCACUUCUGCAAAUACAACUGUUAUGUGUAUUGAAUGCCAAAUUCAAAGAAAAAAGGCAGAAAACUUUGGUGGAUUUAAGCAUUGAGUGUGUGAGCCAUGAACUCUGGAGAACACUCCCUGAAGGUCAGCAGCACCGGGUCAGGCUCUGCAGAGCUCACCGUGGGAUGUGGGAUGCACGUCAGGUUAAUGACUUGCAAUUGCACGCAGCCUUCCCUAAAGCUGCACAUGUAGUUAAUGCAUAUCAGAACUCAGCAAGACUAUUCAAAUUACCUCAAUUUCCCAAUGAUUUAUGAUGUAGGUUUCUGACAUCGUUGGUUAUUUAUCUGUCCUCCUAGUGUUGCGAGCCAAAGCAAAGAGGGGAGAAACAGAUGCAGUAAAAUUAUGUUUGAGCAAAGGGUCAGAUGUGUUCAGAGACAGUAAUGUUGGAUAGAAGGGUAGUGAAGGACUCAAAAGUCAAAAACCUAGACAAGACAUCAGUCCAGUCCAGAGUCAAAGAAAGUGAAAGGGCCUUUCCUCAUUCUUUUUCUACAAAGGAUCAUUUCCUGACUCUGGAACAUGGAUUCGGUUCAUUUAAGUAGUUUUCCAGGGUGUAUUUUAUAUUGCAGACUGGAAGUUUUUUACGAUAUGCCACUUAUAACUUUUCACAGCCCUAAAAAGUUAGGCUUUUUAGUAGGAGAAAACCCACUUCAGACACAGCACUUACAAUAAAUGGGCCAAAUUCUGUUCUCAGUUACAGCUGUGCAACCCUCAUCCUUAGUGCAAGAAGUAUUUGAGCUUAGUAGAGGUUGCGGAUUAAAGACCUGGGGUUCCAAAACACACCCUCAGAUGCAUGUGUGUGGCUAGGACUGAAACCAGUGGGACUCCCAUGUGUACAUCCAGGGUAGACUUUGGCUUGUGAUUUUUAUUGUUUGCGCUAUUGGAUAAAAUUGAUUCCAGCGUUACAUUUCUCAGUCAGAGUUAUUUCUACAUCAUCAUGCAUCAAAAUGUUGGCUCUGAUCUCUUCUUCUUGAUGGUAGCUUUGAGGAGUAUUUGUUUUCUGAUUAGUUUGGGCCCAGCAUUAAUCAUUCUCAGGCUUCCUCUAACCCUUUUUUUUUAUUAUUUUACUGAUGGCAGAUUUAACUGUUGGCUCACCUUUAUUUCCAAAACAGAUGAGUUUUAUUAGUCUCUAAUAUUAGCCAGAUCCAAAGAGUUGAUAAAGUUAGACCAAUGUGGGCCAGAUGCUCAGCUGGGAACUGCAGCCCUGUUGAUUUGGGUAUCCUGUCUGGGAGAGUCUGACAGGGUGCCUGGGCAGGAGGAGAGCCCCAGCUCACGCAUGCAACCACGUAGAGAUGAAGGUCUGGUUCCUGGGCUCCUUCAGAUGCUCUCAAUCAACAAAGAGACCUAUUAAAUUCACUGCUUUGCAACCAGAAGGAAGAUGACCUUUCAGGGGGUAUGUUUUAAUAGUUGGAGAGAUGUAUUCCAUAGAAUUGUUAGGGUUGAAAGGGACCUUUAAAAGUCAUCUAGUCCAACUCCACCCUGCAGUGAGCAGGGACAUCUUCAACUAGAUCAGGUUGCUCAGGACCCUGUAUUUCUUUAUGUUGGUAGAAGAAUGAUUCUGAACAAGACAAUAAAAUCUUUGGCAAGGAGCUGUUCUUGGAUCAGGAGCUUACAUCUCCUAACAUUUUCUAUCUUUGAAACUUGUGUCAGUCUCUCAUCUAAAAGCCAGGUAUCAGAUUCAGCAACACAUGUAAUUUCAUGAAGGGUGUUUCUUCUUUCUUGUUUUGUUUUUACUACUUCUGCUUUUCCUUCUGUUAGGGAAUGAGAGUCGCAGUUUGUGCAUGGCUCUACGUCCGCAGGAAGUGUUCAGCUGUGCCGUUUGCAAGGAUUGUGUAAAGGCUCAUAAAUGAAAGGGGAAAUGGGUGCCAAGAGGAAUUUCAUGUUGCCACGAGGAGGGCUUAUGGAGGCUCUUCUGAGAGGAUGAAAUAUGUGAAUA